rnacentral:rRNA from 1 species
AUGAACGCUGGCGGCGUGCCUAAUACAUGCAAGUCGCGCGAACGGACGAGAAGCUUGCUUCUCUGAUGUUAGCGGCGGACGGGUGAGUAACACGUGGAUAACCUACCUAUAAGACUGGGAUAACUUCGGGAAACCGGAGCUAAUACCGGAUAAUAUUUUGAACCGCAUGGUUCAAAAGUGAAAGACGGUCUUGCUGUCACUUAUAGAUGGAUCCGCGCUGCAUUAGCUAGUUGGUAAGGUAACGGCUUACCAAGGCAACGAUGCAUAGCCGACCUGAGAGGGUGAUCGGCCACACUGGAACUGAGACACGGUCCAGACUCCUACGGGAGGCAGCAGUAGGGAAUCUUCCGCAAUGGGCGAAAGCCUGACGGAGCAACGCCGCGUGAGUGAUGAAGGUCUUCGGAUCGUAAAACUCUGUUAUUAGGGAAGAACAUAUGUGUAAGUAACUGUGCACAUCUUGACGGUACCUAAUCAGAAAGUCACGGCUAACUACGUG